rnacentral:rRNA from 1 species
CGAACGCUGGCGGCGUGCUUAACACAUGCAAGUCGAACGGAAAGGCCCUGCUUUUGUGGGGUGCUCGAGUGGCGAACGGGUGAGUAGCACGUGAGUAACCUGCCCUUGACUUUGGGAUAACUUCAGGAAACUGGGGCUAAUACCGGAUAGGAGCUCCUGCUGCAUGGUGGGGGUUGGAAAGUUUCGGCGGUUGGGGAUGGACUCGCGGCUUAUCAGCUUGUUGGUGGGGUAGUGGCUUACCAAGGCUUUGACGGGUAGCCGGCCUGAGAGGGUGACCGGCCACAUUGGGACUGAGAUACGGCCCAGACUCCUACGGGAGGCAGCAGUGGGGAAUAUUGCACAAUGGGCGGAAGCCUGAUGCAGCAACGCCGCGUGCGGGAUGACGGCCUUCGGGUUGUAAACCGCUUUCGCCUGUGACGAAGCGUGAGUGACGGUAAUGGGUAAAGAAGCACCGGCUAACUACGUG